GAUGAACGCUGGCGGCGUGCCUAAUACAUGCAAGUCGAGCGAACGGACGAGAAGCUUGCUUCUCUGAUGUUAGCGGCGGACGGGUGAGUAACACGUGGAUAACCUACCUAUAAGACUGGGAUAACUUCGGGAAACCGGGGCUAAUACCGGAUAAUAUUUUGAACCGCAUGGUUCAAAAGUGAAAGACGGUCUUGCUGUCACUUAUAGAUGGAUCCGCGCUGCAUUAGCUAGUUGGUAAGGUAACGGCUUACCAAGGCAACGAUGCAUAGCCGACCUGAGAGGGUGAUCGGCCACACUGGAACUGAGACACGGUCCAGACUCCUACGGGAGGCAGCAGUAGGGAAUCUUCCGCAAUGGGCGAAAGCCUGACGGAGCAACGCCGCGCGAGUGAUGAAGGUCUUCGGAUCGUAAAACUCUGUUAUUAGGGAAGAACAUAUGUGUAAGUAACUGUGCACAUCUUGACGGUACCUAAUCAGAAAGCCACGGCUAACUACGUG
rnacentral:rRNA from 1 species